CGGCGAGCGCCUGGGCCGGGCCGGGGCGGGCCGCGGCGUCCCGGCCUCGGCGGCCCUCGGCGGCCCUGGGCCCGCGGGGCGGGCUUGGCGGCGCUCUCCUGUGGAGGCGGCAGGCCCCUCGUCGCAGACUCACAGCAUUCUCUGAUUUGGAAAGGGAAGGGACACACGCGGAUCAUCGCGUCCAGCUCUUGGCCCUACGCAUCACCAUCCCCAAGAGUCGCCCCUGUGCUCGAGAUGGAAACUCAUCUGGAGCUCUGUCAGGUUCCGCUAGGGGGUUGUCGGCGCGAGGAGCGGAGCCGCUGCCGAGCAGGGAGUGCCGCUCCUUGCCCCGCUGCUGCUCGGCAGCCCGGCGGGCAGCCGGGGCUCCUGGCCCCCAGUCUGAAGCUAAAGCUGCGCCGCGGUGAGGCGAAGGGCUUGGCACCAGUGCGCGUCAGGGACAGAUCUGGCCUUGUUCAGCCCGGUAAACAAGCAGUGCGGCUUUGCUGCGGUCUGCCUGCACAGUGAAAUCCUGGAUGAAAAUCCCUGUAGUGAGACAGAUCAGUGACCAGUAGAAAAAAAGAGGAAGCUGUCUGGGUGAGUAGCCUGGAGGACAACCUGCAAAGGAUUCUGUCUGCAUACAGGGAACAGAGAAGUAAAACCAUGUAGCAACUCAGAGUCCCACCGCAGCAUAGUGGGUUUGCUAUUCCAGUUUGUUCUUCCACAAUACAGCAAAGACCAUGGAUCUAACAGGAGUGAGAAGAGACCAGUGGAGAAAGGGAUUAUCACAAUGGAAAGCUUUCUCAAGUAAAAGUGGCAG
rnacentral:lncRNA from 1 species